rnacentral:lncRNA from 1 species
GAAGGCGGCGUAUUGGUGCCGCAAACAAUUCUACGCUCUGAACGCGAUGGAGGUGUGUAACGCCGACUGCCGGGUGAUGAGCAUCGACCCACGGUAUCCUGGGUCGGUGCACAACUCCUUCGCGUGGCGCUGCUCGUGGCUCUGGAGCAACUUCGAGCAAGGCCGGCUGAUAGACGAUGGCAGGCUCCUGCUCGGUGACAGCGGCUAUGCCUUGGAAC